ACUACGGAGGGGGGGAGUAGGCAAGGCAUUGCGUCGGAGCCCGAGAUUUCGGUGGAAUCACAGGAGAAGCUGCCGCUCCAAAUCGGUGGCAAGGCCACCUGGAUCUGGAUCUCGGCCGACCACGCAUCGCCGGGAGGCUCAGUGCUGCUGCUAGAGACAACGCGGGAGGCAGGAAUCUCGCCUCCUGACCGGCAUCAGAUGGUGAUUUCAUCGGGGUUCCCUAUAGGUGCCAGAGCAAGGGCGAGGAGCCAAACCAUGCACCUGCAAGCCUUUCUGAUAUAGUAGGGAUAUAAAUGUUCAAGCCUUCCAUCAGUUGGCACGGAUGGCACUGUGCUUGGAGACUUUUCAUCGUUCCUCAGCUUAAAGUAGGGGGGUGCAUCUUGACCACUUUUCUAUAUGGAUGAUUUCCUCCUCCUGCAAGGGCUGUUGGGGCUUUUUAUUGCCAUUGUUUUUUGGUUUCUUCGGAAGGUGCGAAACAAUAAGCUAUUCGACAAUGCUUGUGUCUCUACCACUUCCUCUCCUUUGCAUGAUGAGUGCUAUUUCUGAGGAGCAGUCCGGGAGUGCAUUAGAUUCUUGGUUAAAUGGAAUUCUCCACUCGGUUGGGCCAAGUUAAUGGAGGCUGUGUUUUAUGUGGUUGCAGGAGAUUAAGCAACCACAAUAUGAGGUAUUAAAGAGGGCAUUCAGGCUGCUUUUGGAAUUGGGAUUCAAGUGCUAUUCCACGUUGAGCCUGAUUCCAUGGCUAUGGUGGAUUGUCUUUACAAAAGGAGCCUUCUCAAAUACACUGCUGCAAAUGUUAUCAACGUUAGGUUAUCCAUCUUUCGUGAGGGUAAUUGUCCUGCUAACUAGCUUACAAACCACACGAGCUGUCGUCAAUUUUUGUACUUGGUCAUCCGGUUUGUAGUGAUGCGAAUGGAGAUACGUGUAGUAGACAUGCUUAAUCCUCCUUAAUACAAGCUCUACUUUUUAUUGGAAGAAAA